rnacentral:rRNA from 1 species
UUGCCAGACUCCUACGGGAGGCAGCAGUGAGGAAUAUUGGUCAAUGGGCGAGAGCCUGAACCAGCCAAGUCGCGUGAGGGAAGACGGUCCUACGGAUUGUAAACCUCUUUUGUCAGGGAGCAAGGAGCGCCACGAGUGGUGCGGCGAGAGUACCUGAAGAAAAAGCAUCGGCUAACUCCGUGCCAGCAGCCGCGGUAAUACGGAGGAUGCGAGCGUUAUCCGGAUUUAUUGGGUUUAAAGGGUGCGCAGGCGGAAGCGGCAAGUCAGGGGUAAAAUUGCGGGGCUCAACCUCGCCGAGCCGUUGAAACUGGCAGUCUCGAGUUGGAGAGAAGUAUGCGGAAUGCGCGGUGUAGCGGUGAAAUGCAUAGAUAUCACGCAGAACUCCGAUUGCGAAGGCAGUAUACCGGCGCCCAACUGACGCUGAAGCACGAAAGCGUGGGUAUCGAACAGGAUUAGAUACCCUAGUAUU